CGCCCAACAGCUAGCUUAACCAAACACCUCAACACUUACAUAUUAAUUAUUAAAUACAUAAAAGUAUAAACAAACCAUUUUUCCACUUUAGUAUGGGCGACAGAAAAAGUUAAUCCAACGCAAUAGAAAAAGUACCGCAAGGGAACGCUGAAAGAGAAAUGAAAUAACUCAGUCAAGCAUAAAAAAGCAGGGAUAAACUCCCGUACCUUUUGCAUCAUGAAUUAGCUAGAGUCCGCCAAGCAAAAAGCAUUUUAGUUUGAAAACCCGAAACUAAGGGAGCUACUCCAAGACAGCCUAAUAAAUAGGGCCAACCCGUCUCUGUGGCAAUAGAGUGGGAAGAGCUUUGAGUAGAGGUGAUAAGCCUACCGAACUUAGUUAUAGCUGGUUACCUGGAAAUUGAAUAGAAGUUCAGCCUCUUGGAUUCUUUCUUCCCCUUUGGUUACACCUAAACAAGAUGAAAAGAAGCUAAGAGAGUUAGUCAAAGGGGGUUCAGCCCCUUUGAAAAAAGAAACAACUUUUUGGAAUGGGUAAGGAUCAUACCCCUCAAGG
rnacentral:rRNA from 1 species